ensembl:lncRNA
UUUUUUUGUAGUUGUAGUCUUUUUGUGCGUAUGAUCGAGGUCAUGAACCGUUCAGUUCACUUUAAGAUCGAUUUCCUGCUAAAGUUCAUUUCAUCUCGCCGAUGGUGCAGAUACGCCGCCUCUGUGGCCUCGUCCCAAACCGCUGUCCGCCCUGCAUGCUCACUUCGUCCCUGUUUAGCGUUGGAAAAUAAUGAAUUCAUUAAUCAAUCAGAUGAAAAACAGUAGAAGACUGCUGUCAUUAUGCUGCAGGAUGUAACUGGCUGGAUCUAGGGUGCUCUCGAGCCAGGCAGCGCGCUAAAUGCAGAUAAAUGAAAUGCCAGAGGACGUGACGUUACUUUUAAACAUCCAUGAUACAGUGCAGUGUGUGUGUGUGCUCAACAUACUGCAAUCUACUGUAUAACUGAAUUAUUCCUCCAUGCCCAGUUUAGACAUAUAGACAUAUAGUUUGGGGAUUUUAGGACGUGUCCUGUCUGUAUAGACUUGGCAUACAAUUGGGUGGUCUCCUGUAACAUUUCAUGUUUAAAUUUUCAAAAUGUAAAUUCUGUUACGGUAUAGUCAAAAAAAACAAACAAUUACAGUCUGUCCCCGAGUCUUAUUUCUACAGACCCCUACAGGUAACAUCCCUACUUUAAUAAAAACUAAUGCAUGGCCAUGACUUAGUAAAGAAGUGUGAACAGGAAUCAUGACUUAAUAACACGGGGGAACGAGAUGAUCUACGUAAGUGUAACCACAACUUAACGCAUGAGAACGAGCUGUAAUUAAAUGUGGACACUGCUUAGUAAUGCAAGCAAAUGGGAUAAUUAUGCACGUGUAGCCAAAAGGAAUAACAUGUGGGAACAAGAUAAUUAAGUGAAGCCGUGAAUCAAUAACACGAUGAUUACACGUGGACAUUACAUGAGAAAACGAGAGAAUUAAACGUGGCCAUGACUCUAAUGCGACGGAACGAGAGAAUCAAACGCGGCCAUGACUCUGUAACGCGACGGAACGAGAGAAUCAAACGCGGCCAUGACUCUGUAACGCGACGGAACGAGAGAAUCAAACGUGGCCAUGACUCUAAUGCGACGGAACGAGAGAAUCAAACGCGGCCAUGACUCUGUAACGCGACGGAACGAGAGAAUCAAACGCGGCCAUGACUCUGUAACGCGACGGAACGAGAGAAUCAAACGCGGCCAUGACUCUGUAACGCGACGGAACGAGAGAAUCAAACGCGGCCAUGACUCUGUAACGCGACGGAACGAGAGAAUCAAACGCGGCCAUGACUCUGUAACGCGACGGAACGAGAGAAUCAAACGCGGCCAUGACUCUGUAACGCGACGGAACGAGAGAAUCAAACGCGGCCAUGACUCUGUAACGCGACGGAACGAGAGAAUCAAACGCGGCGGUGACUCUAACGCGACGGAACGAGAGAAUCAAACGCGGCCAUGACUCUGUAACGCGACCCCCCCCCCCCCCGUUCAGUUGCACCAGCAGGUUAAUGUAUUUCUUUUUAAUAAUAUUGUAAUAUGAGGACAUUUAGAUUAACUAGAAAGUAGAAGUCAGGAGCAGACCUGAAUUUCUCCCGCUACUUUAACUUUCAAGGCUCUCUCAGACGUGUAUUAAAACAGUCCUGUCAUUAAUAACCUUGGCGUGAACAAGGCCAGGAGUAAGAUUAGAAAACCCUGGCAAAAUGGGACGCGACCCAGAGACAUCAGGUGUGUUUGAUUCCUCAUUAAUACACUAAAACUCAUCAGAUGGACACUCGCACCAUCUUACAGAUCCCGUCAGACCUGAGACGUGUCUCAGAUCUUAUAAGAGUGUUCAGAUCGUCAUUUUAUAUUUAUAUUGUCAUUGGGUAUUUACUUAUUCAGGGGGGGAAAUUUGGUUCCGUGAACCAUGACUGUAUGUGGAAGAUUAAAUAAAAAAAAAAAGUAACAUGAAAUGAAUAAAAUUUGACUCAAAGAUCAGAAA